AAACCCCCAAAUCCGAAAAUCAAAGAAAAUAGAGAAGAAAAUACAUCAAAUAACAAAUAUAAUCAAAAAGAUAACAAUAAUCUUUGAAUAAAACUCAUUUUUAUGGUGGUGGUGUAGUGAUGGCCGAAAUUAAGAAAGCAAAAAGAGGGCAAAGAGGUUGAUUUUAGGUCUUGCAUGGAUGAUUGAGUGUUGAAUUACAUAUCUACUUGAAGGUUGAUUGCAAAUACGUUUGUUGUUAUGGUCAUCUUGCAUUUGUGGUCGUGAAGAAGGUUGUCCCGAAAGCGAAAGCCAAGUUAUGUAAUAUAAAGUUUGAAGUUUGAAGUUGCUUUAUGAAUUUUGAUUGUUUUAGCUAAAUGUGGAAAUGGUAACGUUGAUAGGACCCGUAGAGACCCCUUUGAACUAUUGGCUCAUGAUACAUUGAUUGUUUUGGUAUAAUUAUUGAUUAUGUCAAAUGUAAGAAUUAAGAAGUUUUGGUUA